rnacentral:rRNA from 1 species
UACGUAGGGUGCGAGCGUUAAUCGGAAUUACUGGGCGUAAAGCGUGCGCAGGCGGUUUUGUAAGCCAGAUGUGAAAUCCCCGGGCUUAACCUGGGAAUGGCAUUUGGGACUGCAAGGCUUGAGUGCGGCAGAGGAGACUGGAAUUCCCGGUGUAGCAGUGAAAUGCGUAGAUAUCGGGAGGAAUACCGAUGGCGAAGGCAGGUCUCUGGGCCGUACCUGACGCUGAGGCGCGAAGGCUAGGGGAGCGAACGGG